rnacentral:rRNA from 1 species
CCUACGGGAGGCAGCAGUGGGGAAUAUUGCACAAUGGGGGAAACCCUGAUGCAGCGACGCCGCGUGAGUGAAGAAGUAUUUCGGUAUGUAAAGCUCUAUCAGCAGGGAAGAUAAUGACGGUACCUGAGUCAAAAGCCCCGGCUAACGAAGGGCCAACAGCCGCGGUAAUACGUAGGUGGCAGGGUUUAUCCGGAUAUACUGGGUGUAAAGGGAGCGUAGACGGCAUGGCAAGUCUGAAGUGAAAGCCCGAGGCGCAACCGGGGGACUGCUUUGGAAACUGUUAAGCUGGAGUGCAGGAGAGGUAAGUGGAAUGCCUGGUGUAGCGGUGAAAUGCGUAGAUAUUAGGAGGAACACCAGUGGCGAAGGCGGCUUACUGGACUGUAACUGACGUUGAGGCUCGAAAGCGUGGGGAGCAAACAGGAUUAGAUACCCCGGUAGUC